UCAGCACAGCCACGGCCACCGCGGAGGAUGAUUGAUCAUUCCCCUCCAUUCUCCCCCAAAUCUCUACUCCUCGUCGGGCGCAGCAGGCCGUCCAUGGGCGGCAUCGAGGCAUCCAGCCAGGCCUUCCCGCCAGGACGAGGUGGUGGAGGGGGAGGGCCUGAGGGGUAGACAAUUGGUGAUGCAUUAGAGCUUCUCCCGUCAGAGUUGCCACUAAGACAGUGAGAGGGGUGGGCACCCCGCCCCAUUGUAUGGUUAUUACUAAAAAAAAAUGUGAAGAUUCCCUCACCACUACUGUAUUUAACAGAUGGUUGCUAGGCAGGAUUCAGAUGAAGAUGGAUUUUUAUUAUGUUCGCUUAGCAAUUUUUGACAGAUGGUUUCGUAGCAGACUGUGGAUAGAACUCGCUGCUCAAUUAUGUACGUUCUGUUAUGCAGGAUGUAAGGAAUGUUUAGACAGUGCACCAAAAGGAAGUUGAGAAAUUUAGACAGUUGCUAUCGGGAAUUUUCACUGAGCUUACCAGCUUUGAUGAGCAGCAGUAGGCACAAAGUGGUGCUUCUGGCUUAUCAGCUAUGUAGCACGAGUGGUUCUGCAAGUGCCGCGUGGAAGGCCAAAGAAUUGACUGAACUAAGGGCCGCCGGCAGAAUUGACUGCUUCAGAAACAUCUCUACGAGUGGCUGAGACGCGCAGAGAGGAAGGCCAGACAAGAGUCAUCUAUAUUGGCUGCUUUAAGUUUCACUCUCUUGUGGUCCCUCUUCGUCUGCGCUAUGGAGGUGGUGGAGGGGAAGCAACGCGCAGAGAGGAAGGCCAGACAAUAGUCGAUGAUGUGCAUUAGAUCUUCUUGCAUCAGAUCUUGAAAGCAAGGAAGGAAGCCAUCCAGGCACCUUCAUGCGUGUUUCCGUCUUUCAGAUCUUGGGGUGUUUGCCCAGCAGAACAUGUUGGUAGGCUAAAGAGCUGCCACUGAAGACAGUGAGAGAGCCGAUUCAAUCACCAUUUGCACCUGCACUUGUCCUUACUGUUGGCGUGCCUCAAGAGUCAUCUAUAUUCAAGUGUGCCUUAAAUCUUUUACGCCUUGCGUUUAAGACAACAAAUGUGAGAAGAUCCAAAAUAAUAAUUUUCAAAAGGGAGAUGACCUCUGGCAAGAUCAAACUGGGAACAGCGUGCAAGUGGUGCUGUUGGAAUUAAAUGUGGUCCUGCAUUGCAUGCUCGUCUCAAGUGGUACACUUGUGUAGUAGGCAGCAGGACAGGCACAAGUGGUGCUGCAAGUGCCGCAUGUAAGGCCAAAGACUUGACUGAACCGAGGGCCACCGGCUGGAAUGACUGCUUCCGAAGCAUCUCUACAAGUGGCUGAGACACAGAGAGAGGAAGGCCACACAAGAGUCAUCUAUCUUGGCUGCUUCAAGGUCUCACCAGCAUUUCCCAGAGGAGUAACCGCCUGCCUGCAGUCCUGCCACAACUUCAUAGGAAUAAUCGCCUCGCCGGCCAGGCUCUGGGGCUGCUGCUGCCUCUGCAACGCCGGAGCUGCUGCUGCUCGGGCGUCCACGUGCUGGUCACCGUGGCUUCAGGAGUUUCUUCUGAACCUUCCAAUGGCGGAGGUGCUGGCCACCAUGGCGAUCCGGCCACUGGUGUCCAUGCUGAUGAACAAGUCGUCCAACUACCUCCUGGACAAGUACAAGGUAAUGGAUGGAAUGGAGGAGCAGCACAAGAUUCUCAAACGCAAACUUGCAGCCAUUCUCGACGUCAUUGCCGACGCCGAGGAGCAAGCGACAGCCCACAGGGAAGGGGUGAAAGCUUGGCUCCAGGAGCUCAAGACAGUGGCUUAUCAAGCAAAUGAAGUCUUCGACGAAUUCAAGUACGAAGCGCUCCGUCGUGAAGCCAAGAAGAACGGGCACUACAUCAAGCUUGGCUUGGAUGUAGUUAAACUCUUGCGCACUCACAACCGUAUUGUCUUCCGUCACAGAAUGGGUACCAAGCUUUGCCAGAUUUUGCAGGCCGUUGAGGUCCUCAUCACAGAGAUGCACGCCUUUAGGUUCAAGUACCGACCACAGCCACCGGUUUUUAAGAAGUGGAGGCAGACAGAUUAUGUCAUCAUCGACCCACGAGAAAUUGUUAGCAGAUCCAGACAUGGAGAUAAGAAAUAUGUUGUUGAUAUACUACUUGGUAAAGCUAGCAGUUCAGAUCUCACAGUUGUUCCCAUCGUUGGAAUGGGGGGCCUUGGCAAGACCACACUAGCACAGCUCAUAUACAAUGAACCUGAAGUUCAGAAGCAUUUCCAGUUGCUGCUCUGGGUAUGUGUAUCUGAUACAUUUGAUGUGAACUCCCUAGCUAGGAGUAUAGUUGAGGCAUCUCCCAAGAAGAAUCAUGAUACAGAGAAACCACCACUGGAUAGACUUCAAAUAUUGGUCAGUGGGCAGAGGUAUCUCCUUGUAUUGGAUGAUAUCUGGAACAACAAAGAGUUCCGUAAGUGGGAAAUGUUGAAGGUCUGUCUUCAGCAUGGUGGCAUGGGUAGUGCGGUGCUGACAACAACUCGCGAUAAACGAGUUGCUGAAAUUAUGGGUGCACUAGCCUACAAUCUCAACGUUUUGGAGGAUUGCUUCAUAAAGGAAAUUAUUGAGGCUAGAGCAUUCGGUUCAGAGAAAGAAAAGCCAGCUGAACUAGUCAAGAUGGUUGAUGAGAUUGUGAAGAGAUGUUCUGGCUCUCCAUUAGCUGCAACGGCACUGGGCUCUGUACUUAGUACCAAGACCAGUGUGAAUGAAUGGAAGGAUGUAUUAUCCAGAAGUAGCAUUUGCACUGAUGAAACUGGAAUUUUGCCAAUACUGAAGCUUAGCUACAAUGACUUGCCAUCACACAUGAAGCAGUGCUUUGCUUUUUGUGCUGUAUUUCCAAAAGAUUACAAGAUUGAUGUGGAGAUGCUGAUCCAACUAUGGAUCGCAAAUGGCUUUAUCCCAGAGCAGAAGGAAGCUAGUCUUGAAACCACUGGAAAACAUAUUUUUGAUGAGCUUGCCUCAAGGUCAUUCUUUCUGGACAUAGAGGAAAGUAAAGAUGUUAUGUCGUUUGAUUUUGUACCUACAUAUUAUUCCAGAAUGACAUGUAAAAUCCAUGAUCUUAUGCAUGAUAUUGCAAUGUCUGUUAUGGAAAAGGAUUGUGUUGUUGCAACUAAGAAACCUAGUAAAAUUGAGUGGCUUCCAGAUACUGCUCGGCAUUUGUUCCUGUCAUGUCAAGAAACAGUAGGUAUUUUGAAUGAUUUUAUGGAGAAAAGAUCCCCUGCUAUCCAAACACUGCUAUGUGAUGGUUUUGUCCACAGCUCUUUGCAUCACCUAUCAAAAUACCGCUCGUUGCAUGCCUUGAAGCUCUGUAUAUAUACAGAGUCAUUUCCAUUGAAACCAAAGUAUCUGCAUCACCUGAGGUACCUUGAUCUCUCAUACAGUAAUAUGAAAGCACUUCCCGAAGAUAUUUGUAUUCUGUAUAACUUGCAAACAUUGGACCUUUCCAACUGUGGUAAUCUUGAUCGACUUCCGAGGCAAAUGAAGUAUAUGACUUCCCUCCGUCAUCUCUACACUCAUGGAUGUCGGGAGUUGAAGAGCAUGCCUCCAGAACUCGGAGAACUCACUGACCUGCGGACACUUACAUGUUUCGUAGCAGCAGUUACGAGCCCCGAUUGUAGUGAUGUUGCACAGCUGCAGGGUUUAAAUCUUGGUGGUCAUCUAGAACUACGUCAGUUAGAGAACGUUGAAAAAGAUGAAGCAGAAGUGGCAAAUCUCGGAAAAAAGAAGGAUCUUAGAGAAUUGACAUUAAGAUGGAGUUUUGUUUGUGAUAGCAAGGUGCUUGACAAUUUUGAGCCUCAUGAUGGACUGCUAAUUCUCAGAAUAUAUUCCUAUGGUGGAGAGUGCAUGGGUAUGUUGCAAAACAUGGUUGAGAUCCAUCUUUCUCAUUGUGAAAGAUUGCAAUUUUUGUUCAGAUGUGGCACAUCCUUCACUUUUCCAAAUCUGAAGGUGCUUACGCUAGAGCAUCUGUUGGAUUUUGAGAGAUGGUGGGAAAUAAAUGAGAGGCAAGAAGAACGGACAAUAUUUCCUCUGCUUGAGAAGUUAUUUAUUCGGCAUUGUGGAAAGUUGAUAGCAUUACCUGAAGCACCAUUGCUUGAAGAACAAUGUCGUGGAGGUAAUAUAUGGGUAUGCACUCCGUCUUCUCUGCUUAAGAACUUGUUUAUUAGGUAUUGUGGAAAGGUGGUAGCAUUACGUGAAGCACCGUUGGUUGAAGAAUCAUGUAGUGGAGGUUAUAGAUUGGUACGAUCAGCAUUUCCUUCUCUAAAGGUACUCGAAUUGAAAUGCUUGGAGAGUUUUCAGAGAUGGGAUGCUGUUGUUGUAGGAGAACCGAUAUUGUUUCCUCGUCUUGAGAAACUAUCAGCUCAGAAAUGCCCUAAGCUAGUAGAUUUACCUGAAGCACCAAAUCUCAGUGUAUUAGAAGUUGAGGAUGUCAACCAAGAGAUAUUCCAUUGUGUAGACAGGUAUUUACCUUUACUGACCAAACUGAUAAUGAAGCUAGAAUACAUAGAAACAACGCCAGAGGCUGAGUGCACUCUGAUUGUACCAUUGGACAACAAGAACAAAUGGAACCAGAAAUCCCCUCUUACAGUUAUGCAGUUAUGGUGCUGCAACUCAUUCUUUGGAACAGGUGCACCAGAGCCGUGUGACUAUUUUGAACACCUUGAAGAGUUAGAAAUUGAUAAAUGUGAUGCACUCGCCCACUGGCCAGAGAAAGUGUUUCAAAGCUUGGUAACCUUGAGGAGAUUAACGAUUAGAAGCUGCAAAAAUCUAACUGGAUACUCACAAGCUCCUCUUGAAUCGUCAGCAUCUGAAAGGAGUCAGCACCUGCCAGCUUUGGAGUCUCUUGAGUUGAAAGAGUGUGAAAGUUUGGUAGAGAUGUUCAACGUCCCAACAUCUCUUAAGAGGAUACAAAUUCAGUCGUGCCCUAAGCUUGAAUUCAUCUGUGGCAAGCAGCAAGGCAUGUCAGAGUUAGUCCAAGGAUCUUCUUGCAGUGAGGCAAUUGUGCCCACUGCUGUAUCAGAGUUGUCAUCCUCACCCAUGAAUCAGUUUUGUCCAUGCCUAGAAUAUCUGUGGUUAUUUAGUUGUGGAAGUUUACCAUCUGUUCUAAAUCUUCCUCCGUCCUUAGAGACCAUAUAUAUUGGUUGUUGUAGUAGUAUUCAAGUCCUAUCAUGUCGCUUGGAUGGGCUCCAGAAACCACAAGUCACUACUUCCAUAAAUUCUCCAGAGCUAUCAACAGUAGCAGCAGCAGGAGAGCAUUCACUUCCUCCUCAUCUCAAAUAUCUGAAUAUAUGGUCCUGUGAUAGCAUGUUGGGGGGGAUCCUCCGUCUGCCCACAUCCCUUGAGAUGCUUUACAUUAUGGGCAAUAGUCGGUUGACGUCGCUGGAGUCGCUGUCAGCAGAGCACCCCCCAUCGUUGGAAACCUUUUCACUUUCUCACUGUAUUACCCUGGCAUCCCUGCCGAAUGAGCCGCAAACAUACGGGUCUCUCAAAGAGCUUUCAAUACAUGGCUGUCCAGCUAUAAAGAACCUCCCUAGAUGCCUGCAGCAACGACUGGACAGCCUCGACUACAGAUGGCUAGAUGCCCGUUAUGAAGUAAUGGCGUUUAAACCGAAGACAUGGAAGGAGAUACCAAGAUUAUUCCGUGAGCAGAGGAAGGCCACUCAAAGAAUCAGGCAACGCCAGCAAAACAUGCAGGAGUAAGCAGGGCAUGUAUUUUGUUGGCUUCAAAUAGUGUACCAGACCCGGCCGGACAUCCCGUUGAUCGUUUGAUCUCCAUAGAGGAUUGUUCAAGAGGACUCUCAACUCGACAGCAUUAGUUGGGUGGCAAAGCCUGGGAUAUGAUGCUCCCAAUGUACUGCAACUAAAUCAAGUGUGAAUCGUCUUUCAUUGACAAGGAAUUAGUUGGGUUAGGUAUAACAGAAAUCAUUGAUAAGGAAAAGCAUCCAAUCAAAUCAAAGUUGUUCAUAAGAUGUCAUCACACCCCGUUUACUGUUGGUCCGUUUCAAAACAGUCAUGCUCAUGCAACACAUCAUACUCCAUUAACUUGUUCAGUCCGGCGACUUGCUUCAUAACCUUCACGGGAAUUUUCUUCUGCUUCACUAGCGGUUCGAUUUUUCUACAGAAAAAAGUCAUCCACUAUUAGUAUUUUCCCUGUACAUGUCUCCACUUCUCAAUUAUUCUUGUCUGGGUGUCUUAGCUAUGA